UACGUAGGGGGCAAGCGUUGUCCGGAUUUAUUGGGCGUAAAGAGCGUGUAGGCGGCUUUGCAAGUCCGUUGUGAAAACUCGAGGCUCAACCUCGAGACGCCGGUGGAAACUGCAAAGCUAGAGUCCGGAAGAGGAGAGUGGAAUUCCUGGUGUAGCGGUGAAAUGCGCAGAUAUCAGGAAGAACACCCGUGGCGAAGGCGGCUCUCUGGGACGGCACUGACGCUGAGACGCGAAAGCGUGGGGAGCGAACAGG
rnacentral:rRNA from 1 species